rnacentral:rRNA from 1 species
GGGACAGUAGGUUGGUCGUGCCACCGGUACGUACUGGUCUCACUGAUUCCUCCUUCCUGAAGAACCGUAAUGCCAUUAAUUAGGUGUUGCGGGGAAACAGGACUGUUACUUUGAAAAAAUUAGAGUGUUUAAAGCAAGCUAACGCUUGAAUACAUUAGCAUGGAAUAAUGAAAUAGGACGAUCGAUCCUAUUUUGUUGGUUUCUAGGAUUGACGUA